rnacentral:rRNA from 1 species
GACGAACCGUCCGAACGUUAUUCGGAAUCACUGGGCUUAAAGGGCGCGUAGGCGGGAUCGUAAGUCAGGGGUGAAAUCCCACGGCUCAACCGUGGAAGUGCCUUUGAUACUGCGGACCUCGAGGUGGGCAGGGGCGUGCGGAACUUCCGGUGGAGCGGUGAAAUGCGUAGAUAUCGGAAGGAACACCGGUGGCGAAAGCGGCACGCUGGGCCCGGUACUGACGCUGAGGAGCGAAAGCAUGGGGAGCGAACAGG